AUAAGUUCAAAAAUAUUUUCUAUUCAUUUAACCAUAUAUCAAGUCAAAUCAUAGAAACAAAUUAAAUAGGAGAAAUUAUUAAAUAGAAAACUACGGGAGCAUAUAUGCAUGACGAAACAAAUCCAGGGGCAUAUGUGCACUUUGGCGUAACUAUGGGGUCUGUAGGUGGUUUUGAACAAUUCUGGGGUCCAAACAGAAUCGGCGUCUUCCCGAACGCGAAGUCUGUCGCACCGCUAUUCUCACCCGCCGUUGUCACCAGCGAAUUAUCUGCAACUUCCACCGAGUAAUUUUCAUGUUACAUCUGUUCUAUGGUGGUAAAGUGAAAGAAACUUCAGAAUGAAUUUCGAACUUGGAUAUUAAUUUGUUAUGAUAAAUGAAGAUAUGUCAGAUUCAACGAGGCGGCGAUAAUGGAUGAAGCUCUUUCAUCUGAUAAUAGGACGCAGGUUUUCUGAACUAACGAUGAUCUCUUAUACUUGCAAUCAUCAAUUUAGAUCUUCUUAUGUACUAUACAUAUUUGUUUUUUCGCUAGGCUAUUCUCUCUAGAAAGUGAUAAAGCUUCAACGAAACUGGUACUAAUUGAUCUUGAAGACGAGGAUGAAAGUUUUUCCUCAAUUGUUCUUCUAGAUAAGCACAUACAAAGGAAUGCACAUCGAUUUUGCAUCUUCUCCAAAAUUGUCCUAGUACUUAUUUAUGAGGAUUUCGGAAUAUGUAGUAAUGUAGAUAGGAUAUUGAUCUUGCAAACACUUAGCUGAAAAAUGUGUAUUAACAGCUGUUAGUUGAUUCACAUUGCUCAAUUAGGGCGAUUAUGUGGAAUGAAGUUUUGGACAUUCGGUACUUGUAUAUUCUCAGUCUGAAAUUUGAAAUGAGUGUUACGCUUAGCUAGCUGCUUGCCAUCAUAUAAGGUUCAACAAUUUACUUUACUAUGAAUUUUUCUUUUUUAUCAUCUCUUAUGACUUUAGCUUUCAAUUGAUUGAACUUCUCUUAGAGCAUAUCAGAAGAAACAUCACAAUGCAAAUAACGGAGAACACAUCAAGUUAAGGUACUAGAGAGUAAAAGAGCUCCCAAAACCUUCCUGGAGCUAUUGCAUGAGUGUAGAAUUUCCCUGGCUUCUAGAUGCUAUCUAUCUCAAUUCAGUGAGAUUGUUUAACUAACCUCUCUCCAUAUUAUAAAUGGGGAAAACGCACACAUGUAUUCCUUCCCACCAAAUGUACCAACCUCUUCAUCAAGAGCAGCAGAAGGACCUCCAAACUCCAACUGAUCCCCGCUGUCAUUUUGCAGAGUUUGUGAUUUCUCAUCUAAAUUUACAUGUAUGCUAUGUGGGAUGUGUUUCUGUGCGAUCUGAUUCCAAACCAUCCACAAUGAUACCCGCUUCAUAAUAUUUGUUGCUUGAUUUGUUAAGAGGUGCAAGCGAAUUGAAUGGGUGGUCAGUCCUGUCUUUACUCGUUGAUAUCUUGUACUUGAGCAUUAUUUAGUUGCUUGUCCAUGCCCCUUCUGUACAUACAAUAGUUGAUAUAGUCGUACCAAUCUGACUUGAAUUGUAAAUUUGUAGAUUCCAGCCCUUUUCUCGAGCACCUGUUGUCGUAUAAUGUUUAUUUCACAUCUUACUAAAUCUGAUAUUGGAUUUUUCAGUUCUAACAGACUCUUCAACAAAUUAGUUGACAAUGAAAUGAUCUUUUUCUCACCUUGUAAUUUCCCAUUGUUGUGCCUUCGCCUCAAAUUGCAACUGUUUCCACGUGGUAUCAUACAGAGGGCAUCUUUUACAGUAUGUAAUAUUUUCUUUCUUGAGAAACAAACCUCCCACACCCUGUUGUAUAGAGUUUCACCACUUUUGGCCAAUUUUCACUGUUCUUAGGUGAGGUGUUUUUAAAAUACACUAGGCAUGCUAUUCAUAAUCAGCUUAAGAUGAUACUUCGAGGAAGUCUAGGAAAAUUUCUUUCACAUGGAUGUUCUCAUCAGUGUCCUAUUGACUAGAAACAGAAACAGAAACUUUGCAAUUUGGCUUGGUAAGUUAAAGCUUCUACAUUUGUUUGCAGUCAUUACAAGAUGGAUAUGCCAGCUUAAGUGAUCCAGGCUUAUAUAGAGACUCUCUUUGCUUUAAGAUUACUGCUAUCCUCUAAUCAUGAUCUUUGUCAUCUUUUUACAGUUGUGUUAAUAUGCAUUUUUCUUGUAUUGCACUCUCUCUUUUUCUCAGCAUGUUAACAAUGUUCGAAUAUAACCAUAGAAAUUCGACGGAAAAUGAGGGAACAUUUUUAUGCCUGUUUACAGUAGCACUUGGAGAAGAUUCUUAGGGUUCUCCAUUGUUAAGAAGGUAACUUUGUAAGGCUUAAUGCACAUACAUAACUGAAUUUUCAUUUGUUUAACUAUUAAUUGUGCAAAAAAAACAAUCUACUUUAGAGCUAAGACAUGGGAGUGUCCCAACUGCUAUAAUUAAUAAACGGCUGCGAGUUCCUGAAUCACUUUUCUUACUCUGAUCAGAUAACCAUUGGCUAUUGGCUGCUGAUGGAAGAAGGCGAAAGGUAUGAUGAACAACUUUAAUGCUUUAUCUACAGCAAUAUAUGUAGCAACUUAAUUUUAUAAUCUGGCAUUGCAGGUGUAGCUUUUUUAUCUUGCUUUCUAUUUAUCUCUUCAUCUUAUAAUUGGGAAUGCUUUACUUUAGAGUUGAGAAAAAGGUGCAACUCUCAAUAAGAAUUUCAGCUAUUAGUGGAUGCUAUAUAGAUUGACCUCUUUUCCACGUGCUAUUUCCCCUUACGAGGUGAACUGCUUAUUGUGGAUUUGUUCAUAACUAGUCUUGCAGCGUGAAUAAAAGAAGCUUUUUACUGCAUAUUGGUGGAGUCUGUCAAAGCAAAUUUUCCUUUAUUUUGAAGAAUAAUCAUAAAACCUGCAAUUUUAAAGUCUAUUUUCGGGAUAAAAAGAGCACUCAUAUUAGCAUUAGUUUCGUCAUUUUCAGAUGUGAUUGACUUGUGAUGGAAUGUAUGCGUCCACUAUCAGUCAACUGACCAGGUCCCUUGACUCAGCAAGAACAAUACUGAAGUGUAAAU
rnacentral:lncRNA from 1 species